rnacentral:rRNA from 1 species
AUAUUGGUCAAUGGACGAGAGUCUGAACCAGCCAAGUCGCGUGAGGGAAGACUGCCCUAUGGGUUGUAAACCUCUUUUAUAAGGGAAGAAUAAGUUCUACGUGUAGAAUGAUGCCUGUACCUUAUGAAUAAGCAUCGGCUAACUCCGUGCCAGCAGCCGCGGUAAUACGGAGGAUGCGAGCGUUAUCCGGAUUUAUUGGGUUUAAAGGGUGCGUAGGCGGUUUAUUAAGUUAGUGGUUAAAUAUUUGAGCUAAACUCAAUUGUGCCAUUAAUACUGGUAAACUGGAGUACAGACGAGGUAGGCGGAAUAAGUUAAGUAGCGGUGAAAUGCAUAGAUAUAACUUAGAACUCCGAUAGCGAAGGCAGCUUACCAGACUGUAACUGACGCUGAUGCACGAGAGCGUGGGUAGCGAACAGGAUUAGAUACCCUGGUAGUCCACGCCGUAAACGAUGCUCACUGGUUCUGUGCGAUAUAUUGUACGGGAUUAAGCGAAAGUAUUAAGUGAGCCACCUGGGGAGUACGUCGGCAACGAUGAAACUCAAAGGAAUUGACGGGGGCCCGCACAAGCGGAGGAACAUGUGGUUUAAUUCGAUGAUACGCGAGGAACCUUACCUGGGUUUAAAUGGGAAAUGUCGUAUUUGGAAACAGAUAUUCUCUUCGGAGCGUUUUUCAAGGUGCUGCAUGGUUGUCGUCAGCUCGUGCCGUGAGGUGUCGGGUUAAGUCCCAUAACGAGCGCAACCCUUACCGUUAGUUGCUAGCAUGUAAUGAUGAGCACUCUAACGGGACUGCCACCGUAAGGUGAGAGGAAGGCGGGGAUGACGUCAAAUCAGCACGGCCCUUACACCCAGGGCUACACACGUGUUACAAUGGCCGGUACAGAGGGCCGCUACCAGGUGACUGGAUGCCAAUCUCAAAAGCCGGUCGUAGUUCGGAUUGGAGUCUGUAACCCGACUCCAUGAAGUUGGAUUCGCUAGUAAUCGCGCAUCAGCCAUG